CAGGGUGUAGAUUCCAGGCUUCUUGGCAACACCACAUUGAUCACCUCCAGAGACUAUGGCAUGGAAGACACCUUUACAGAUCAGUGGGCCCCCUGAGUCACCCUGGAAAGAAGAAAAAGGGCAAAUACAUGAAUGAAGAUUUGGACAAGAAAGGAAAACUUUCCUCAAACUGAGGAAACAGUGCUAAUUUGAAAUGAAGACACUUUAAGGAUGUGGAUCGGAUUUCCUAGGAUUGAUUUGGAUUCAAAUUCAACAUACCCACUAAACCCAAAACUUUGUAGGAGAAGAAUGAUAUAAAGUCUCCAGGAUGAAUGUCCUAACAGUAAGGUGGGCACGUGCAUAGACAACUCAUACAAAGAAGGCUGCCAGGUACAAAUACAAGGUGUGGAGGGUGGAUUUUCACUAAGGGAGGGAUGCUGGAAAAAUGUCUGGGUUUCUUUCAGCUUUUACUAAUUUCCUUGGCUAGUUAUUGCCUUUGAAAUGUUUUGGUUAUUUUUGUCUCCACUGGGACAUGUUAAAACCUAAAACAACCCAAGCAGACCACUGGACUUUUAAUUUCUAGAUACUCUUCAACUGUAAUCUGUGCUACUGAGGUCAAAUUUUCUGCCCACAGGAUACCUGGAAUUACUUGAGUUCUGGGAUCCCACCUCCUUAGCUAAACUGAAGUCUGAAUUCACACAGAGGAGAAGUAAUAAUACCCUGUCUUUCAACUGCACAACACAAUGUUUCCCCAAGUGAGGUCUUCAGACUUGCUUCAGAAUCAUCUGGAGGUGUUGGUGUAAAAUGUGGUUUCCUGAGUCCCACCCUGAACUUAACUGAAAAAGAACCACAUACAGAGCAGAACUACAGUGCGGCUUAUAGUAGGUCUGCUGAAGACAUCUGUAAACGUUGCUUCGAUUGAGCCUAAUGACAACUUUUCUCAGGCUGUAUAUUCCUUACCAGUAAAAGGUUGUUCUUUAACUGGUCCAAGGUGACACACCUCAAAAUAGGGGAGGCAGGACCCAAAUUUAGCUUUUGGUGAUUCCCAGUCCAGUGUUCCUUCCUCAAUCCCUCUUUGAGUCCCAUGCCAACCCCCUUCAAGCCUCUUCUUUUCUCUGCCAGCCUGCCUGGAUGCUCAGCAGUGCUUCUGCUUAGACCCACCCCUUGAGAUCUGGCAGCAAAGGCAGGGUCCCUAUGUUUUGGAGAUUUCUCUUGCCUAAGAAAGAGGGAGAAGAACUUGGCUGUCAGACAGGGAGGGUUUCCCAGUCUUAUCUCAUCAACAUCAGAUUAGUUUGUCAAUUAUUACCAUGGAAGGCACAGAUAAUCAUAUAAUAAUACUCGAUAACAUCUAUUAAGUUCUUUAUGUUUAUGCUAAGCAUUUUAUAUAGCUUCCCUCAUUUAAACCUCACAGCAGCAUGGUGAGAUAAGUAUUAUGACAAUCCCCAUUUUAUAGACGAAGAAAUUGAGGUUCAGGUAUAUGAAUAAACUUGAGGAAGUUUGCCUCCAGGAGGCAAAUUUGGGCAGGAUUAAAGCUCAGUUGGCUUGAAUCUAGAGCCUGACAUUGAACCAUUUUUCUCCAGGAGCCUUGAGUCUUUGAGAUGGAGUGAGGCCAUGUGGAAGAGCUGUGGAAGGUUCCAUCUAACAACUUGCUAGGCAGGUUAGGGCUGGGGGAAGUGCUCUGUGAGGCAGGCACUGGGGGAGACUCAGGAGGAUAGGGAAGAACAGCUGGUGACAAUUUUGCCUCUGGUGAGUAAAAAAUGCUAAAAAUAAGUUUGUACAAGACAUUUUUACCAGUUUCCUUUUAUAUUUAAAUGGUAACUAAUAAAGGGGCCGGGAUACUGAGGGACGAACUGUGUGGAUGGCUGGUGAGGAGGAGCACUCCCAAGUUUGGCCCACUUCGCAGUUUUGCUGAGAGAGAGGCUUGGGGACAAACUAUUCCCACAGGAUACUGGGGAGUACAUUUGUGGGAAGCCACCAUUGAGCUAUUUCGCAAAUAUUUUGAAUUUCAUAAAUCUUAAUAUUUUUCCAACCACUGAUCUGCCUACUUUUUACACCCAAAUGUCCUGUAGAGGAAAUUUGAUAUACAUAUUUUGGAGUUCUUUUUUUAUACUCCAGCCAUUAAAAAUGAUAUUUAGCAAUAGUUUGUUUUAAGGAAAAAAAACCUCCAAGACCUCUCUCUUAGUCUUUUUUAUAAUCUCUUUCCCCAAUUUGAGAAUCCACUUCUGAGUUAAAUCCACUUGACAAAAUUUAAAAUUCAACUUAGUAAUGUUAUUUAACUUCCUAUAACACUUUAUGACUAGCGAAGUACUUCUUCAUACGUCAUGUUUCAGGCUUAGCAAAACAACAACAAAACAAAACAAACAAAAAAAAACCAAAGAGAUAAAGAAAGAUCCUUCAAUGUAUUUCCUUCUUUCUAUCUAGCAUUUGCUGAACAUUUAGAAGUCAAGCUCUGUGUCUGGGGAGGUUAUAGACCAUUUGAAUGUGUAUCAUGAGUAUGUUUGAAGAUACGCAUAUUUUGCAUCAAAUGAACAUUUAUUGACAGUUCCCCACUCUGCCUCUCUGGUCUCGAGGGUCCAAGUGCCCUGGAGAAGAGAGAAAUGAUGGGGAUGAGAGUAUGAUUUCUAUGAGGGCAAGAACCCCAUGUAAAUAAAGUAACCAUAUUAAAUUUGAAAUAAGUGGCUUGCUACUUAGAGAUAGCAGAAGAUAUCCCUGUCUGCAGGCUUCAAAACUUUUAAUUUGUGAUCAAUCAGUUCCAUUUAAAUGGGGCAAUCACACAAAACCUCCAAAACAUGGAGAAGUAAAUCAAUUCAGUUGUUCUGUUUAAAUAUAGACAAUGCCUAGAGAGCAAACCAUUACAGCUAAGAUAGAUCUUUAAGUGAAAGAAAGGGAGAAGCCUCUAUCUCAGCUUAUUAGGCAAGAGACAUAAGGAAACAUACAAACAAAAAACAAAACCAAAAAACCCAAGCAAACAAACAAAACAACAAAUAUCACAUUAGUUUUCUACUGGCAUUUCCUUUUGUGUUGAUUGCAGCCUCCCAAGAGGGAUUUUGUGCUUUAUUAGCUGAUGUGAGAGAAUCCUAGGCUGAAAUGGACUUCGGGAGGUUUUACUUCGUCUUCAGAAAAGCUUUCAUUCUAAGUAUCCCCAAAAAUAACUCUCUCAUUAUCUUUCUCUUUUUAGAAGUGAUCGAUAACUUGUUCGUUUCCACCUAGGAAAGUUGUGAGGGGUGAGUAGUUACUGUUAGGAGUGGCAAAGUAGGCUUCUGGUACGUAUAAUACUAAUGAUCAAAGCUGCAACUUUUUAUGCUUCCUAAAUGUGCCAAGCAUGCUGAAAUACUGAAAUAGAUACUACUUAAUUCUCAGACCCCAUGAAGCAGGUGUGAUAUGAUUAUUACCCCUUUGUAAGAUGGGGAAGCUAAGAGCACAGAGCAAGCUCAGGUUGUCUGAUUUCCUCUUGAGCAGUGUGAUCUAACAAGAUCAAGAGCACUGCUGCUUCAGGUAUUACUGUUGCUGUGUUCCCCGGCAUUCUACAGAGAGGUUGAAUUUGUCUAAUGUCUUGCCUGGGAAAAGCAGCCCAGAUCUCUCUGAAAAGGAAAACCCAGGCCAGAAGGCGUGGGUGUGGAAGAAGGUAAAUAAACCCCACCAGUUGGUAAUGACCACAGAAGCUAAGAGUUGAUCAAAUUCUCGCUCAGGAGAGGUAAGCUUCUCUUCUAGCUCUAAUAACUUGCAGGAAAAACACAUGCCUGGAAAAGUAUGGAGGACUCACCGAUAGUGGCAGUGGGCUGCUGUUAGCACCCACUGGGGAUCGAUCAGAACACCUCCACAAAUGUGAUGUCCGCCAUACUGGAUGGAGGCCAUAAAUGGCCUGGAAUGAGGUGACACUUCUUUUCCUCCAAUAAUUUCCAUAUUGAAACCUACAAAAGUAGACCAAAAGAUAUCACAAAAAAGAUCUAAACAAAAUGUUUCAUGUAAUUCUUCCACUGACAGUCGCUGUAUUAUUUUCAAAGCUUAAAAAGCAACAACCCUACUUAAGAGUUACAAUAAUUUUGCUGAUGCAAAAUUUGUAUAGUGCAUUACAGUUCAGAAAGAUAGAAAUGAUUGUGAAAAUAAUUUCCAUCUAUAAUAUAACAAUAUCGUCAGUAGAACGUCAUUUAAUAUUUACAUGUAGAUAUAGGAGAUACUUACACUCAGAAGUCAUAUAAGCUCCAACUAUUAGGAAAAACAGAGAGAAAGAAGAAAACAUAGUCCUUUUAAAGACUUAGAUUUAAGCAGGCCAGAUGAAAUGCUCUGAUCCUAUGAUGAAGGAAGAAGAUUCUGAAGACUGAAUUUUGUUCUUACAAGCUUUGACUUUCUAACCACAAGUGCUCUAGAGGUUAAGAUUUUUCUCACAUCUAAGUGUAAAUGCAUGUAUCCGUUUGAGGACUUUAAGUUGUGUGCUUUUAGCACUUUUUCGGGAGAGGUAUGUGCGACAUAACAAACUCAUAUCUGGAGAUACCAUCUCUAAUAUCUGUAUCAGAGCAUUUGUGGUAUAAAUGAAAUUUAUACUACAUAUAUAACAUUUAUAAAUUAAAAAUAUCCAUGCCGUAAGAAUGUAAUGAAGUUGCAGACAGAGUUCAAAGGGGUGCAUUGCUCUAAAGCAAUACUUACUAUUUUUCCUGGCACAAAAUGGUGCCUAUUAUAUUCAUUCUUCUCUCUUUUUCAUCUGGACAUAGAUUUAUGAUGAAGGGAGACAUGGACCUUGCACAGAUCAUGGUUACUUCACAAUGUGACUUAGCUAAAGCCUGAGCACCAUCCAGAGAAAACUGUAUGUUUUGCAGCAAACAUCCCUACUUAUGCCUUUUCUCUAAGUUUGCUCAAAUUUGGUUAAAUUUUAGUUACAUUUUUGUGAGAUUUCAAAAUGUCAUUAAAGGUGAACAUUGGCACACAUUUUUGAUUUAGAGUCUCUCUUUUACUCAUUUUUAAUUGAAAAUGACCAGGUGUUUUUCCAGGGCCGUAAUAAUAAUGUCUUUUAAAAGUAAAGGACUGUACUUUGUUAUUCUCCCCAGGAAAGAUAACACUGCAUUGCCAGGCCUUCAAUACAAAGGGUAUUAGGCUCAAGAUUCUGUUUGUGCCAGGCACUGAUCAGCAGUGUAAAUAUAAAAUGAAUACAGAUAGAUCAUGCACCAGAAUGCCAAUCAUUUUCUAGAAAC